rnacentral:rRNA from 1 species
AUGCACGCUGGCGGCGUGCCUAAUACAUGCCAGUCGAGCGAACAGACGAGAGUGCUUGCACUCUCUGACGUUAGCGGCGGACGGGUGAGUAACACGUGGGUAACCUACCUAUAAGACUGGGAUAACUUCGGGAAACCGGAGCUAAUACCGGAUAAUAUUUAGCUUCGCAUGAAGCAAUAGUGAAAGACGGUUCUGCUGUCACUUAUAGAUGGACCCGCGGUGUAUUAGCUAGUUGGUGAGGUAACGGCUCACCAAGGCAACGAUACAUAGCCGACCUGAGAGGGUGAUCGGCCACACUGGGACUGAGACACGGCCCAGACUCCUACGGGAGGCAGCAGUAGGGAAUCUUCCGCAAAGGACGAAAGUCUGACGGAGCAAUGCCGCGUGAGUGAAGAAGGUUUUCGGAUCGUAAAACUCUGUUGUAAGGGAAGAACAAGUACGUUAGUAACUGAACGUACCUUGACGGUACCUUACCAGAAAGCCACGGCUAACUACGUG